UCACCGUCAUGAGAUUAGAAAUACCUUUCGUGCAGUUCAGCAGCAACUAUGCAAUAUGACAGUUAAGUCAGCAGAGAGAUAUUCCAGGCAAUAGUCCAGAACUCGGCUACCAUCAACACUGGAGAGAUGGCAGACUUCCUGUCCCUUCUCAUACCCUGUUUGAAUGACUUUGGUGGUGUUUCUUCAUCGGCCAAGUUUCUACAUUAAGGCUGAAUACGUGGCUGGCACAGGAGCUGCCUUCUGGACAAGGACAUUUUCAGUGGAAGAUAAUGCACAGAAGGUGUACAAUACCACUGGUUGUCAAAGAAGCGAAGCCGGGGUCCCUUCUAGUGGGUGGUAG
rnacentral:lncRNA from 9 species